GGGGAUGUGGCUCAGUGGUAGAGUGCUUGCCUAGCAAGUGAGUUUCUGAGUUCAAUCCCCAGUACCACCU
rnacentral:tRNA from 1 species